rnacentral:lncRNA from 1 species
CGUUCAGUACUGAACCCGAACCUGGUCAGGUGCACAUAUCUAACUGAAGCUCUUGCAGUGUUGUAUCAGUUUGGUCUUCAGAGAGUUGUAAAUAUAAGUCAUUUCUUUUUGGUACCACCAUCAGCAUACAUGGCUCUCUCCCACUGCGCGACAUUUUCAACGUCCGAGGGCGGUGGCGGUAGGACCUCACGCUCCACCAGAUCCCAGCUAUCCAAGAUGUUGUCUGGCACGCCACCGUGCUUCACCAGCUUACCGGUGUACAAGAAGCUCUCAUUUGAGUUCAGAAGGAGGUUAUCCAGAGUGCUUGGCUGAUAAGAAGACAGAUACUAUCAAAAUCAAAUUGAAGUUUACAUGCAAAAAUGUACGUUAGACAGUAAGAGCAAACUAGGAAUUUACCAUGAUGGCUGUGUGAAUGCUGUCCAUAAAACUGCUGUCAGAUGAUAUGGCCGAGCUUGCCUUCCAAAUAGAUUUGUUUAGCUGCUGUGCUUGCUUCUCUGACCUGGAAGCAGCAGACAUAGUCAGUUUUUUUACCCCCUUUUGACAACCAAGGAUAUGGGAUCACAGAAUGCAUUACUAUGAAACAGCAUACGCUACCUUGAAGCAAUGUUCGAUUCAAGAGCAGCUCGAAGGGCCUUUGACGAUGAUAACAUAUGGAGCAACUUUGCAAACGCCUCAAAAGUAGAAAGAUUGGAUGGCACAUCCAAGCCCAGUGAGUUAUAAUAGUAGGUAGUAAUGGCAGUAACACUUGUCUUUAAUAGUGAUAUUCCUCUUUGCAAAUAUUGAUGCCUUUCCAUGGAGUGGGAAGAUCCACCAGAAAAGUUGAAGCUAUUGCUUCUCUUCGAAUCAAAAGAGUGUUUCUUGACAGAAUCGAUAGAGUCGACACCAAAGUUAGCCGAACCACUUUCUGUCAAUGAACUUUCCUCACCACCUGUGCAUACAUUUUUCCUAGGUAUGAAAAGUGGGUAAACUUUGCUGAAAAGAAGGAAAAAUGUCAUGUUAGUAAAGGUCUUAUAUGUUCAUGAUAGAGAGCUGCUGCUUUUACUAGAUAAGUACCUCUGGGACUGUCGUGUACUCCAGUAAGAACUUCGCUGCCAAAUUUGUGAGCAUGAACCCUAAUACAUCACGUUACAAAUAUGUUAGCCAAUGAACUAACCUGGUAGCCUUCAAAGUGCUACUCAUGCACAACACAUCUAAACAAGUACAACUUGCAGAAUACACAUGCACACUAUUUACAUAAAAAGGAUAGGUGAAGAUACGUACUAUUAAACUGACAGGACUAAGCAAUUGAUGUUUCCUAAUCUGGUAUUGCAAUUACUCCAAUGCAUGAUUCAGGCAGUGAAUUGGAUCUUACCUUAAAGCCUGAUACAUGAAGGGCAGGUGCAGAUAGGAUACGAACUGCAAUAUUGAUGAAAUGUAGCAUGUACCUGAAACAAUAUGGAACUUAAGUUUCACUAGUUCUAAGCCAAUAUCAGAAAUUUUUUUGGAAUGCGUUACAGUAAAUAAUCUCUACAACCCAAAAACCUAAGAUUUCAACUUCUUAAAUGGCUGUUGAUAACAAGGAGGGCUACCGGUUUCCACAUAUACUCUCUUGCCAUGAAUUCCAUUUCCAUACAAACUAAUGAAAAUUGAUAACAUUUUUCUAUGGUCCAGACAGCACUGUGAAGGUUUGGAAGCAAGCAUGCAUAAAGGUGUUAUUUAGAAGAUCACAUAAUAAUGCCUACAAGAACAUCUGUUCAUCAAGUCAUUCCAACUAUUAAGAGCAAAACAUUCCAAUUAAAUAUAAAACUGAAUGAGGGAAUGUCAUCAUUAGGACAAUAAUUUGUAGGAGCCAGAGAGAAGUAUAACCCCAAAGCAGCUGAUAGCUCUUCUGAUGGAACAGAAUGUGGAUCAAGACCACGAGGAAGACGAGCCCCGCAUAUCGAAUCAUAUGGACCAGUGUAGUCUUCUUUCUUUUCUCCCUCUUUAAUAACCUACAUAUUGAGAAAAUGUAUGGUAUAAAUCAUUAUGUAAGCAUGAAUGAAUAAUUGAACAAUCCAGAUUGAAUAUCACAAAGUAUUCAUAAGAAACCCCUCAUUUCCUAUAGUGAAAUAUGGAAUCCACAAGCGGGAAUGAAAAGGAAAAAAACAUAAAUCUACCAAAAAAAACUGCAUGCUCCGAAUGGGGUCAAAAGUGAAUCUUGCCAUGCUAGGUUAUCAACAAAGGAUCUCAAGAGCAUAUAUACACAUAUAAACUUACUCGUCGCAUUGGGAACAGUCUGCAAAGUUGCUUUACAGAUUUUGAUUGCAUUUUCAGGCGCUCGGAGGUGGUUGCCAUCUGCCAACAUUGAGAACAGCUAUUUCAAUUCAAUGGUAUAAUGAACAUAGAUAUAACAAAGCUGAUGGAUAACAUGGAAGUCUUGCUAUGUGGACCAAACAAGAAAAGAUGGUGCAUAUAUACUCACGAGAUUCAUCUGUGCGACUUUCAUGGCAUUGGUGUGCAUCGUCACUGCGUCAGCUCGCCUCUUUUUCAGCUGACGGCAAGAAGCAAGAUGUAUGCAGGGUCAGCAAGAUAUUUGUGUUUGAGUUUGCUUUAAAUAAAAACUGAGAUAUAAAUAUAUAUACCGUAACAAAAGCCAAAUUCAGCGAUGCCGUUUGUGCCUUGAGAUCACUCGAUGACUGCUGGACUUUGGUCUUCUCUGCAAAAACAGCAAGAAGCAGAGCUCAGCAUCACUAACCCACCAGCAACAACUAACAGAAUCUAUCAGUGCAGAAGAGAUUGACCUACCUAUUGCAGUUUUUCCCUUCAACUCAGUGAGCCGAUCCCUCAACUCCAUGAUAUCCUGAGUUUUGCUCACUCUCCAGAUCCUCUGCUCAUCCACUUUGCUCUGUCAAGAAAACACCCAAACAAGGGACAACUAUAAUCUUUCAGCACAAAUUUCCCAACGAAAACAAAAAAUGCCACAGCAAUUCAGUGUUCAGCCAUAGUUAUUUGGGGCACAUCAUAUCUGGGUUCAGGUUUAUACUCAUACUGACUCAACAAGCUAUUUGCCCCUAUGCUGUAAACUCUAACUAAAUGAUAUAGACUCCAAGCGGAAAGUGCCAGUCGAGACUCAUAAUUGGUUACCGAAUUGGAGAGGGGAUGUCAGGGGAGGCGAGGGAAACCAACCUUGGCCUCGAGGCGCGCGGCGAUGCGGGCUUGGAGGGAGUCGCGGAGGCUCCUCAUCAUGCGCAGCCUCGCGUGGUACUCGACCAGCCUGCGGAAAACCCAACCCAAAUCCAACAACGGUAGGAGCAUGAGAAAUUCCGCCGGAAAGACGAAGACUUUAGCCGAAUUUCGGGGAGGAGCCGACCCCUACCUUGCGUUGACGCACGCGGUGCAGCAGGAGGGGAGGUUGGAUCCCUCGCAGAGAGCGCAACUGCUGCUGCCCCGCCGGGACGCCAUCCUCUUGGCGCCGAUUCGGCGGGAGGGGAGGGGAGGGGAGGGGAGGGGACGGUUUGGCUAUGGGCGUAUGCCUAUCUGUUGUCGGCUCCGGAGCAUGCUAGAUCACCGGCGGCGGCCAGGCGUGGUGGUUGCUUGCCGUCGUUGACGUCGCCGUGCCGUCGCGCCGGGAGCCCCGGAGGCCAAGACGGGGUUGGUUUGCGUGCAAGAGAUGAUUUUCCAGCGUGGGAGGAAAACCCAGAGGGGGCGCAGCGAGAAUACGGCGACGUCGAGGACUUUUUUCGUUUUGCGAAUUUGGACCGGGCCACCAAUGGGCGGAGAAUUGGGCCGUGUAGUACGAGUUCUUCUCAAGCCCAUAACGAGUCCGAAGUCCGAACAGAAUGCAUCUAGGAGUAGGGUAACGUACCGAUCGAACUUCAGGAGGUGCCAACCUUUCUCUUUUGCAUCUAUCAGCAAGAGUAAAUCCAACAUUCGCAAAUAUAACCAUGAUAAAAGAAAGAUACUUUUAAAGAAAGAUACUAAAGAUAUUUGUAUGAAUGCAUCUUUUUUUUAACAGAGUGUGGUAUAAGGUACAAACUAAGCUGAACGAAUGAACUAAAACAUUACUAAACACGCAUAGCAAGCCAGUGUACUAAGAACAAAUUGCAAAUUGCAUUCCUUUUUCUCAAUAUGAUGAAAAUAUUCCUGCUCGAGAGGAUCUUGGUUGCACUUGAUCACGGACCAAAUAGUGGUAGCAAUCAACAUUGCAACGCAGAUGCUAAGUGUAUAGGCUCUCACUUGCGUUGACAUGUGCUUGGUUCCAGCCGUAGAAGCAAUGCCAAAAACUACUCCCACGGUAAGGAAAACCCAUAGUGAAUAAUAUAAGUACGAAAAGCUCUAGCUAAGACACACUUAUUAUGGUAUGGAAGAUCUUGACAAUAGAAUACAGUACGUACACAGGGAUAAAAGAAUGGGGAUAGUAUUCCUUCACAUGCAACUCUUACUGCAUUGUACUCUUUUUCGUCCUCGUAGUAGGCCGCCGUGAGCCUGUGGUACCAGAGUGUCCCAAUACGUCCCUCUCCGAGUGCAAACAGAGGCAAGGUCGAUAGGAUAUCAGUGAUGGCGUCUCUCUUAGCGACUAUGACUUUUGGGCAAUGGGUUCUACAGAUGCAACAACGUUUGUUACGAUGGAAGAAGCGGAUGCGCACCAUGCACUUGCGACAGACAACAUGGUGGCCACACCGCCCGAUAGCCACCCACUCUAAAGGGUGAGUGCAUACAACACAAUAAUCUUGGGAUCAGCAUCAUAUUGAGGUGCUACAUCAAUAACAUGAUCUUGACAUCCGGUAUCACCGUUGAAGUUUACACCGUCGCCUCCACUAUUAUGACAUGCGGUGCUUUCGCGUAUCAUACCGGACUCGACAUCCUUCACGUCUCCAUGCCUCUUAGUAUUACCAUUAACAUCAAGGGCUUGUUCAGUUUGAAAAGAAUUGAAAAUGGUUGAAGGGGAUUGUGAAGAAUUAAAUAACUUCCAAAUCACUCCCAUUACCCCCAAUCCACCUCGAUCCCCUUAGAAAGAGGAUCAAGAUCUGCUCCCAGUCCGACAUGGCAGUCCGCCAUUUGCACCCCCCGUCGCAUGCGGUUGUCGUUCCAUAACGUCGAGUCGUCGAUUGGUCAGGGUGGAUAACUGCUUGUGGUCGUGGACUCGUCGUCGUGGGCGGUCGAUAUAUAUAAAUAUAUAUAUGCGCGUGAAAAGGACCGGAGUCCGGCGCAAAACCGGCCGCAACAAGGCGGGCUGAUCUGUCGUUGCAAGGCGGGCCCACAGCGGGCUCCGCUUCUCCCGCGCCUACUGGAGAGUGGAGACCGGAUCGAAACCUUCAACCCCGCUUCGAAAAAACUUGGGCCGGACUGCCGGGCCUGCCAGGCGCGGAUUUGGGCCUGGGAGCCCGGGAGGCCAAGACGGGGUUGGUUUGCUUGCAAGAGAUAAUUUUCCAGCGUGGGAGGAAAACCCAGAGGGGGCGCAGCGAGAAUACGGCGACGGCGAGGACUUUUUUCGUCUUGCGCAAUUUGGACUGGGCCACCAAUGGACGGAGAAUUGGGCCGUGUAGUGCGAGUUCUUCUCAAGCCCAUAACGAGUCCGAAGUCCGAAUAGAAUGCAUCUAGGAGUAGAGCAACGUACCGAUCGAACUUCAGGAGCUGCCAACCUUCUCUUUUGCAUCCAUCAGCAUGAGUAAAUCCAACAUUUGUAGACAUAACCAGGAUGAAAGAAAGAUACAAAUACAGAUAAUAAAAACACCAACUGUGAGCACCGGUUGUGAAGCAAAAUCCAGAAAAAAGGGGUACAUAAUACUGCAUUCCACAUCAGACUCAAAGUGGAUGCACAAUCGUCAAGGCGAUUAGAAAUGCUCUUACAAUAACGCGCAAUAAGAGCAGCAGCCAACAGGAAUACGAAUUCAACGAGUUCUAGUGCAAUGCUCUGACAACUUGCUGCAUUUGCACUAGUCACCCCAAAACCCUGAUGUGUUACGACGCCAUCAUACUAUUGAGAAACCAUGGUUUUCUCUAGAACUCCAAAGUACCACACCCGUCAUAGUUUGAAGAACCCACGGUAUUCUCUUGAACUCCAAAAUACCACAUACCCAAUCAGGCCUUCCCCUCACAACAAACUCCUCUUUCAACACUAUGCGACCUAAAUGUACAUACCACCUAGUACUUCAUAGAGCUGCAGCGGUUGAUGGAAUCAGGUAGGAGAAAAGAAUAUGUCAAUCACCGUGACAUCUACAGUUGCAUCUGAGAACAGCAGUGACGGGUACAAGAUACCAACAUACCAGCUUGAGCAACAAACUAAAGCCCCACUAUCGCCUCUUAACAUUGUUGCGAGCUGCAAGUUUAGCUGAUACCUCCUAUUCGGACAAGGGCAUAUAGUAAAUCCUUGGAUGCACCUGUGUCUUCUUGAAGAGAUCAUCCAGUGUCCGGGGAGGUUCCAGGUUCCUUGGAGGAGGGGGAAGAAGCAUCUCUCUUGCUGGUCCAGGGCCAGAGAUAGGCGGCAGCUUGGCAAGAGGUGCUGGAGUUGGCAACAGAGCAGCAGCAGGUUGGGGAGGUAGGGUUUGGUUAGCAUUGGGUUGUUGGAAGGGUGCUGCCUGUGGUGCUAUAGCUGUGCUCAAGCUGAUAGGCACUUGAGAUGGGGGAGGGGCUUCAAGUUUGAGCUCCACCUCUUCUGGAUCGACAAAUUCAGCGACCAGAUAGUUGCGGUUGUUUGGGGGCCACUGGAGGUUGUAGAUAGCAUUCCUCGUAGCCACUGCUUCCUCCACUGAAGAGUACUGCGAAUCAGAGAGGUAGGGCAAGAAGACAAGUCAGCACCACAACACUACAAGGAAUAAACAAGAAACAAGCAACAUAUCACGAAAUGCUCUGAGUUAACAAUAUGCACAAUCAAGCAGCAAGGCUACCAUCUUAUGUUCUGUCCUUUACAGCAAACUUUUAACCACCACAUGCAUCAGCUCUUACCAAGCUAGAUAAAAAGGCAAUUGGUCUAGAACCAAAACUAUCAACAGCAACUGAAUGAAGCUCAAUUAUAAUGAUGCAGUGCAAGUUGUAUUGCAAAACUGUCUACUAUCAAGCAUGUGGAAAGCAAGAUUUGUGCAGUGUUAAAAAAGCCAUAAAAGGGUCAAACAUUGAAUUAUACUUCUGAUAUAUUACCCAUCUUUGUUGUAUGAAAGUGUUAGCUUUACCUGAAACAAAACGUAUUGGCAACAAAAUAAAAUAUAAGUUGGAGGAAGGAUGGCAAAUCUGUUUCAAGGAAGAAUAAGAAGGUGGAGACAUAAGGUAAGGAAGAUAAGGACAUACAGUAACAUAGCAGUGGGUCUUGAUAUGAUCCAUCCAAAAGCUACAAACAGAUCCAGUUUUACCAAUAAGUUCUUGCACAGCUUUCAGAGUAAAUGGGCGCACAAAUCGAUCAAUUCUUAAGGAAGUUGUUGCUGGUUUUUGAGCAGGUGGUACUGCAGCAGAAGAUAAGAAUUAGACAACAACAAUGAGUUACUUUAUUGAAAGGGUAGAAGAACCUCACCUAUUCGCUCCUUUGGAUAAUCUCUGCUUGCUGUUGUGCCAGGCCUGCCAAAAGAAUGGCUCGGAGCAUAAUGAAAGACUUCCUUCGUAGUACCGGUGCCAGUUAAUUUGGGUGCUUUUUGUUCAGAAAUAUCGACAUCAUUCACGUUCCGUAGGCGCUGCCGUUUGAUUGGCUCAUUAUUUGCAAUGACCUCUUGAUCUGUUUAUUUAAUAGAAAAUUAGAACAAAAUCAAGAAUCGUACUUGGCAUGAGGAAUGCCACAAAACUCAGUAUAAUAUGAUGAUCGCUACUCUUACUAGAAAACUGCAAUAAGUGUCCUAUACUCCUAUACCUCUAAAAAGGAGUAGAGAACUGGAAAAUAUAAAUGUAUAACUGUUCCAUGAAAUAUAUAGCAAAGGAAAAAGGAAAACAGUAUAAGGAUCACACAAAAGAAAUCUGGAUGCUCGUAGCAAUUGUACAUGCACAUACUGAAACUUGUUAUAAAAAGCAUAAUGAUCCCAAGGCAAUACAAAGAGUAUAAAUACGUUAUUAGUACAAGAAUUUAGUAAGUACCACUUUGUAAAUAUACUCUAAACAAACAUGGAGUAAUCACUAACCUUCAGGUUUCCUCUUUUCAGCUGGACUUGGUGGCUUCUCUUCAACUACAACUUCCUUUGUGUGUGCAGAGGAAUCCUCAGCAGCAGUAUCAAGGAGAGACACCUCUUUCAACCCAUGCUCUGAGGUAAACUCUGUCUUCUCUCCAAGAUCAUCAGAUUUGAUAUUGGAAUCAAUGUGCUUACUUUCCAACACAUCCUCAUCCAUUGAUUCAUCACCUGAACAACUAUCAAAAUUCAGUUUCUCAAUAGAACUACCAUCAGGACUCUCCUCAUCUCUGUCCAAGUCUAUAUUACUUGUGGAGCCUAACUCUUGCAAAGUGGCACCAAUCUUAUGCACCUCUUUGUCGACAUCCAACACUUCCAAAAGAUCACCUGGGGAGGGAAUGGUGGAUGAUGGUUUGACCAUCUCCUGCUUUGCGUCUAGUUCUAAAUCACAAUCAUCAGCAUUCAGGUUACCCUUUAGAUCAUUAUUUUUGUCAGCAGAUAUAUUAUCAUCGAAAAUUGAUACACACUUAGUUUGAGAAUCUAGAUCUGGGUUGACCUCAGAUACCUGGUCUUUUUCUCUGCACAGGAAGGGCUUGGUGUCCCCAUUAGAGCACUUAAAGUCUCCGUGGCCAUUGCCAUGCAUCAAAGUAUUCACACUGAAAUUAUCUUUAGGAAUCAUGUUCUCUGCUGCCACAACAACAUCAGCACCCUUAGGAUCAGCAUUCAAUUCAAUAGCAUCAGGCAGUGCUGGUACUUUUUCCUGUUCAAUUUUGCAGUCUACAUUGACACCUAGCUUGACAGUAGUAUGGUUAGCAUCAGACAAUACACCAUCAAUGGUCAUUUUCUUGCUUGUGUCAUCUUCUGGUUCAGCAGCCACAACAGCAUCAGCAUCCUCAGGAUCAGCACCCAAUACGGUAUCAUCAGAAGGUGCAUAUACAUCUCCCAUUUCUAGAAUUUUGAUGUGCAUAUUAAGGCCUAACUUGAUGUCACCACCAGUACCAUCAGAAGGUAUAUCAUCAAUAGCCAGUUUCUUGUUGGUGUCAUCUUCUGGGGUCUGCUCGAUGGUAUCACAGUGAUUAUCAGAACGUGGAUUUGCUUCCUCCACUAUAGUGUCGCCACUUGAAGCUGAUUCUAGGCCAUUUCCAUUGGUUUCAUCAGUUGCUGCUGUAUCAACUAGAGAAGACUCAACUCUUGCAACAGCAUCCAAACUUCUCUGACUAGCUUCUGGAGUACCAACCACAGCCUCCUGAGUAACUUCUGAAGUAGUUAAUAUACUUUCAUCAUAAGCUUCUGUAACAGAGAUAACAAGAUCUGCCCCCUGUUUCAUAACCUCUGAAGCACCUUCAUCAACAAGUUCUUUGAUUGAAGCCUGGUUAACAGAUGCAUCAACAGAACCAGGGGUUUCACCCCCUUUCAGCUCCUCAGGAGGAAUUCCACCAUUUGUUUUUUCCCCAUCAUCAAGUAUCUUAUCCUGGAUGGCCUCAAAGAGCCUCUUCACAAGAUCAUUCUUCAAACCACUGACAGGUAGAUUCCUUCGCUGAAGCUCAUCCUUCAACUCAGCAACCAUCCACUCAUCAAUUGGCUGGUUGUUCAAAAUAGGAUAUGUCAACAUUUCAACUGCAAAAAGUUUUCCCGAUAUACUAAAUAGAAGGUAGCUAAAUUGAUUGCAAAAGUUACAUUACAUUGCCAUGAACGAAAUCAAAACAACAUUCUACAGCUCAAUGAAACAAAAUGAUCUAUAUCAUAUAGGAUUGUAAUAUAUGAAUCAGAUUUAAGGAUAGAAAAAUUCUCAAGUUGCAACAACAAGAUUUGAGGACUAAAUCCAUCUUUUUUUGCUUGCAUUCUAGUUACUCCAAUGAUAUACAUUUUAUACAUUCAGCAAAAUAGUAACACGGAACACCCCUAACUCUAGUAUGUGGAUGCACUUUUACAAUGAUAAUCUAUUAAUGUCCGUAGUUCGUACAAUUUUUACCCCGUGAAUUUUGACAAGAGCUGCAUGCUAAAUAUAGGAAGAAAAAUGCUCCUAAUUUUACCUACAUACCAAAAUUCAGGUAAUUUUUGGGUAUCAGGGACAUUGCAACCUAAAUAAAAUAGGUUGAUCCUGAGGCAGAGGUUCACAGCAUACAUAAUUACAAAACUGAAAACACAUGUCCCAGAGAGCGAACUAAAUAGAUUGCAUUUCUAUCCCACUCACGAGCAUUGUACAUUAAAACCAUCAUUCAACAGAAUCCGCACAUAAACCCCUAAUACCCUCAAGUCCUCAACCACACAGUGCAAACAUCGGGGGAAAACCUGCACGUGCAAUCCGAAAAAAACCCUUAAAAUCGCAAUCGGAUGGGAUUUCACGUACCGAGAGAGAUCUCAGCAGGGCCUAGCGUGCGCCAGCCUUCUCCAACCCGCAGGUCCAAAAACCUACAGGCACACGCAUCCAUCAGAUCAAACCCCAGGUACCAAAACCCUAGUGAAAACCAGAAACACAAAACGAGGGGAAAAUGCACCGACCAGAGGCCGCGAAAUCGCCGAGGCCGUGCGAUCCUGAAACGAAACAACCAAAAAAAACACCGAAAAAAAUCCCAAUAGCAAAAUAAACAGCAACGAGGAUGGGGGAUCGGGGACUGCGAGAGAUCGAAAAUAAGGAGAUGGAAUAAUCGAGCCGUCGCGCGCUUGUGAAUCCGCGCGACCACUCGCGUCGGAUUCCGAUUCCGAUUUUGAUUUCUACGAGGCCACUGGGGUUUAUGCUUUGCCCCUGGGGAGAGCGACAGCAAGAAUAGAUGGCGUGCUGUUUGCACUUGCGCCGCGUGUGGCGCCCAGUAAUCAGAAAGCCAGUGGCGGUGGGGGUGUCAUUGGAAAUGGAGAACAAGGGAAGCCCAAGCGGCAAGGGAUUACCCACUGACAAGUGGGGAGCACGCAUGCGCAUCAGUGUGCGGGCGGAAUACGUUUUCACUGUUAGUAAGCGUAUUUGAAACUUGGCGUCUCUUCUCCUCCUAUAAGCCUCGUCGUCCCAAACGGGCUCGAACCCUAAACCCCCCCGGCCCACCACGUGAUUCCCAGUAAUUACCAAAAUGCCACUCUUCUUCUCCAAAUUGGCACCACUGGUCCCCCGCUUCCGCCGCCUUUCCACGGCGGCGGCGACCGCCGCCGGCGAGGACCCUAAGCUGUCGCGGAUCGCGGACGAGCUCCUCGCCCUCUCCCCAGCCGAACUGGACGACUACGCCGCGCUCCUGCGCCUCAAGCUCCGCCUCUCGCUCACCUCCAGCGCGGCCGCCGGUGGCGCCUCUUCGGCCGGGGCCGGGGACGCUUCCGCGGGACCCGAGGAGGCCGCCGCGGCGGUGAAGACGGCGUUCGACGUGAAGAUCGAGAAGUACGAGGCCGCGGCGAAGAUCAAGAUCAUCAAGGAGGUGCGCGCGGUGACGGACCUGGGUCUGAAGGAGGCGAAGGAGCUGGUGGAGAAGGCGCCCGUCGUGGUUCGCACGGGGUUGCCCAAGGAGGAGGCCGAGGCGCUCGCGGCCAAGCUCAAGGCCGCCGGCGCCGCCGUAGCACUCGAGUGAUCCCACCAAGGUGUCCCCUCUUUUGUUCCUAGUGUUCUUAGACGAUGCAACGUACGCGUGCGCCUUAUUUGUUUUGAAUUGGAAUUUGAUGGGAUUGCAGCGGUCGGGCAGGGGUAUUGCGUUCUUGUAGCUUUUGUCCAACCUCAAGCUUAAUCACUGAUAUGAGUGAUAGAUUUGUCCGGAAUCACACGAUAAGUUCUUCCUGCACUAUGCUUUAUAUUACUAGCCUGGAUUGGUUUGAACAGCCAGCCUUGUGUAGUUGUUGGUGGUGUUACUGUAUAAGGUGACUAGAAUAUGCUAGUUUGAAUUAUUUGUUCAUUUCGAGUGGUGCUCAAGUGAAAUGCCUCCAUUCUCUUUGUUUUGGUGCAUGACACUAUUUGUGAUUGUAUUAUUAAAGGUAAAGCUUAUGUUCUGUCAGGUACCCGUCAUAGGUUCCGUCCAUUUCAUGUGUUGUUUGAAAACGAUUGUUUAGUCCAUUUCAUGUGUUGUUUGAAAACGAUUGUUUAAGGUUAGCCUGAUGAUGAAAAUGGUUGUUCAAAGGUUAGCUUGAAAUGAAUUGUGAUUUUCGACAUUCACAUGUUCAAUUGUUCAUUGGCAUCUGUGACGUGGUCUGGUUAGCUGACUUUGUUUGGGCCUUUGGGGUUGAAGGUAUAAAGAAUGAAGUCAUCUUUUUGACAUACAGCUGGUGCAUUGAGUUGAAGAUAUCUGAUACCAUGGGUGCACCAGAAGUUUAUAGUUUCAUAACAGUUUUUGAAAAAUUCUGUCCAAAGAUUACAUGAAGGUUUUGUAUUUGGUAAAGGUGAGAAUGGAGACAUCGAUCAUUAUGGUGCUGUAGUAAUUGAUGAAGGUGCUGCUGUGUGACGUUACUGACCUUUCAUGGUUCGCUUUUGUUUAAUCACAUGAUGAUUAUUCAUGGAUGGUUUAUGACACAAUUAUAGAAUACUGGCCUGCAAGGUUCUUGUUCAAAAUCAAUUGCUGAGGUGAUUCUUUUUGUAGUUGGGAAAUGGCUAACCAAACACAUUUACUGAGUUGUUUUAAUUUCCCAUGACGAGAGUUGUAGGCGUCUAUGUAUUUGAUUCAAUUGGUUGCAUGAGUAAUAUUUAUGCAAAUAAAACUCUUGGUAUAUGUAUUUUGUGAAUAAAAUGGAAAAGUUAAAUCAUGUGGUAUCGCUUGUAAAUUCUCACCGUAUGCUUAUAAGCUAGAAAACAUCACAUGCUGAAGGUAGAUUUGGUGCGUGAAUGUCAGCAAUCAUCUCCGCAGCCAUAUUUGAUCUGCCAUUUCCCAACUGUAAUGUAGAAUUUAUAGAAGUCAAUUCUUGGAAAGUAGGGGGAAAACUGGCCUAUUUUGCAUUAUUUAAUUUGUUGUUAUCUUCUGUAGUAGGCUUUGAUAUAUUUCGUUGCAAGUUUUCAUGUCUGUACCCCGCCUAGCAUGAGCUGCCCUAGGUGCGCUGCAGCACCGUGUUCUCUCUUAAUUCAAUGACACGGACAUUUUGCCUGUUCACAAGAAAAGAAAGUUUUGAGUGGUUUGUAAUGUGCACUGGCAGCUGUGAUCUAUGACACUGACCGUAUAGCUUGCCUUUGAAGCUCUGAGAAUUCACCUCUGGUACAAACUUGUCAGUUCCUUAUUUACCAGUGUAACCAUGUGUGGAUGUAAUAGUACUUCAAGCAUAGUAUUGUUGAUCAAUUAAGUGCUUCUGAAAGCCAUAGGCCAUAGGAAUGCUAUGUUGCAAGCCAAUCUUUUGUUAUAUGUUAACUCUUCUGACUGAGGACUGUUAAAAAUAGGGUUGCUGUUUGAUUAAUGCUGUGUUUUUGCCGUGGACUAGCGUUUCAUCGUUAUUUACCUCUGGUGGCCUUGUUGGAGCUUGACUAUCACAUACCUGACAGUUUAUGGUUUCGACUUCGUGAUGUAGUUGCUUGUAAUGUUGUUUUGUACUUGUACUUCGAUGGAGCUUUCAAGUUGCAACAACUGCAAUUGCUGUUCAGCUGUUGAUGUGCUCUGGACAGUGGGCACACAGACAUCUCCAACGUAUUGAUGAUCACCAUUAGUGGUUCCGUGACCACUAGAAAUUUUCGACUACUGAGGUCAAUGCUGGCUGAUUGAUUUUGCUUGUACCUACUUUACCGAAGAUGGGAUUCGAAUAUUUCUGCCCAUGCGUUCGCUCUUUUCCGAACAGAAGUGAUGUUUUCACACACUUUUUCCUGAACGGAACUUAUGUUUUGCAUUUGUUUUUCUGAUGUUUUCAUCUGAAACAAAGAAAUUUUAUAGCCAAAGAAUACUUCGUUUUAUGUAUAAGAACUGCCAUCAUCAGUUAACACUUGAAAAUUGACACAACAGUUGUCCGAACAAGUCAGCCACCGUCAAACAGGCAUGGUCGCAAAGAAGUUAAGAACUCUGAAUCGAUCUGCCAUGCUCAAUUUAUGAAUCAUCUGCGAAGUAAAGAAACAUGAACUAAUAAAUCGUAUAAAUUUGAAUAAAACACUUGCAAAAUCAUGGAGAAUUUGCCUUACCUGGUUACCUUCUCCUUUGACCGCCGGAUAUAAGUAGGAGUUAAAAUCGAUUAAGAUUCGAUCGUCUUUCGCCUCAAGAAAAUAUAUGCACACCAGUCCGUCCUCUUUCUGUUCCUACUCAGCUACUCUUCCUGCACUGAAUCAGCAACUGUUAAUUUCCCACAGAUUGUUUUUCUUUUGGUGCGUCGUGAUGGCAGCGGUUUCUUCUAAUAAUUCCUACCGCUGAUGUAAAAUUCCACCAUGUAUUGUUGGGGGUCCAACGUCCAAGCCCAACGACAAUUGCAAUGCGAGAGGCAGCUGCAAUGAUCUCUUGGUGGGCACGAUGAUCUUAGCUUGUGUCGCCAUCACGGUUGGUUGCGCGUCCCCUACCUAGGCCAGAUGUUCAUUCAGCUUGUCGGAAUUUGAUCGCUCGCCGUUUUAACCGAUCCAAGUUACAGCCGUUGUGCGUGACACUUACCAAAGAGUGCAUUUCUUGUUUGGAUGGUUGCUCCCCCUCACCUGAACGCUGUUCAUUUCAAAAGGAAAAAGAAAAAAACACCUGAAUGACCGAUUUUACAAUGCGGGGCGUGGUCCAGAGAUCACCGGCCUGACCCAACAACGAACGUUCCCUUGGUGUGUGUUUCUUGGCCAUCUGCGCUGCGCACCCGUCGCCGAUCGCGACGGCACACCACUGCGUGAACGUGAUAGAACUGAUAGCUAGCGAGCAGUGCGGCGUUUUAAGUGGGCAACCGAAAGCUACGCCGGGAAAGGCUCCGACUCCGACUCCGGGUGGGCACGCGCAGCGACUGCGCCUCUCCAGGGCCAUGAAUCAUCUACGAGAGGGUUGGUGCAGGUGCAGCAACGCGACACCGGCGACAGUGCCGCUCGGCAUGUAGCCUCGCCUGCAUGAUCACCGGCCACGGCCACCAACCGUGCCCGUAGCCGUAGGUGCUGCGUGCUACGCUGCACGAGCUCAACUCAGACACAGGCUUGUAAAGCGAGGAGGAGAUACAGCUCGAUGGCUUGCUACACUUGCCAUUCCCCAUCCACAGCUCGAUCCAAUCCUGAGCAAGAGCACACACGCUUCUCUUGCAACAAAUAUCUGAGUCAAGUCCAGGCUGUACAGCGCCACAGCGGCACCACCUCCCUUUUCGGUUUGUCUUUUUGCUUCCAUUUUCCUUCUGGAGACCUUUCUGCUUCUGCAACUGCUCUGUGGUCUUUACCAUGGGCCAUGCCAGGCCUUUCCUCCUUGCUGGUGUUGUUGGUAGCUUUCUGCAGCUCACAGCUUUGGCCCUGCCCAUCUGCUUUUCCUAAAGGCCUGUUGGACAGGAGAGAGUGCCCUGCCUGCACACAGCUAGUAGGGUUGGCAUGCAGCUGAGCAGCUCAGACAGAUCAGUGACAGGCAGAGGCCAUAGAGAGAGAGACUGUAGCUUCCGAGGGCUCUCUCUCUCUCUCUUUCAACAAUCAACAAGACACUGAUUUCCACUUUCCUCACAUCAUUCAUUGGUUUCAUCUUGUCCUCAUCACAUCAAUACAAAAACUGCUGUGAGGAAAAGGGAGAGGGAGAGGCUCGCCAUUGCCAUAGCCCAUAGUCCUUUUCCAAGGCUCUGUCGUUUCCGGUCACUGCCCACCAGUCUUUGUUGCUGGCUUGCUGCUGCUGAGCAUAUAAAUGGCCAGCUUGGACUCUCUUUCUUUCUCAAGCAAACCUCUCUCUCUCUCUCUGUGUGUGUGUGUGUGUGUGUGCGCUCUGCAGUUCUUGACUUGAUUCUUGAGAUCGAGCUUCUUGCUGGUAGUGGUGUGUGCCUUGCUCUUGCAGAGUUGCAGAGUGAGUUCCCAUGGGGGGCACCUUGGAGUACCUGUCGGGGCUGCUGGGAGGCAGCGGAGGCCAUGGCCACGGCAAGAUGAAGAGGAGGAAGCAGCUGCAGACGGUGGAGCUCAAGGUCAGGAUGGACUGCGAGGGAUGCGAGCUCAAAGUCAGGAGCGCCCUCUCCUCCAUGAAAGGUUCUCUCUCUGUUUCUCUCGGUUACUGUUGAUAUGUUUUUUGCCUUGCGUUUGCGUGCUCCAAAAAUUUCAAAGCCAGAUUUUUGUUUUCAUGUGACAUUAGGCCACUGAAAUGUUAGACAGUAAAAAGAUAAAAAAAUCAUAAACCUCAGAACACGCGUGUCGAUCUUGUUCCUAGUUCGUUUCUAGCACUACAUCAGCAUAUAUCGUUCGACUGUUCAAGCAACCAGCGAAAAACUCUGCAACAGCCAGGGGUAGGAGGCUAAGAGCUGGCUGUGGAUUCUCAAAUCUGAAACAGUUCUCAUCCAAGAGCAUAGUCAAUCCGUAAGGGGUAAGUCAUAUAGUAGUACACGUACUGAAACUUCCACUGACUUGCAGUAGAAAUGCAGGACACCACGUUUCUUUGAGCAGGCAUACAAAAAAGUGCACUGAACACAAAUGACUUUGGCGUUCUGAACAACCCACCAUGUGUAAAAAAAUGAAAACGAAGAAAUAAAUCUAAGAAAUUGACAUUUGAUCCAUCAUCAUUACACAGUAGCACCACUACAGGCUGCUGAUGAACUGAACAUGAGAUUGUCACUGCCUGAUGGCCUUUUCCAGGGGUCGAGUCGGUGGAGAUAAACCGGAAGCAGCAGAAGGUGACGGUGGUCGGGUUCGUGGAGGCGAGCAAGGUGCUGAAGAAAGCGCAGUCGACGGGGAAGAAGGCGGAGAUCUGGCCCUACGUGCCUUACAGCCUCGUGAGCCAGCCCUACGUUGCCGGCACCUACGACAAGCGCGCCCCGCCGGGCUACGUCCGCAGCGCCGAGCCCGGCUACGUGGCCGCCGGCGGCCAGCAGCAGCACGUCGGCCGCCCGCACGACCACCUCACCGACAUGUUCAACGACGAGAACCCAAACUCCUGCUCGGUCAUGUGAGGACCAAGAGAGGUGGUGUUGAUGUUGCAGCCUCUAUCUUGAGACAUAAGUGAGGUGAAUGUUCAUGGUUUGCCUUGGUCUGUCGAGUGUCGACGAUGGUUUGUUCGAUGACGUGUUCCUAGUUCCUGCUCAGUGUUAGACGUUUGUGCCGAGGCUUUAGCUAGUACCGUGUGUCGUUUGCUUGUAGCUUUUCCCCUGCUUACAAUCCAUCUUAUGAUAUGAAUUAGCAGGAGCUAGAAUUUGCCGCUGAAAGCUUGAAACGUAUCUUAUUGCAACUGUUGCGCGGCUGACAUGAGUGAGGAGCUCGCCAGCGCCAGCUCGUAGAGGUCGUGGAUCGAGAGAGCCCGUUUACGCGCGUGACUCUGCAGCAUCAUAUAUGGGCUCCUGAGUUGGAAAAGAAGGAACGGGCUUGUUACGAACGCCAUCGUGAAUUCGCACGCGCGAGCCCCAACGUCCGGCGAUGAAAAGAGCGCUGAUGACCAACGCAUACGCUUGAAAGCUGAAUCAAUGAAUCCGUAUGCAUGCAUGCACUGAAUUAAGAAGAGAGGAAUGUUCAAAUUCAACAUAGCUACGGUGGGCAAUUGGUUUCAUUUUCUCUUCACCUUCUUGUUUCUCUUCAACUCCUCUUUCCUCUUCUUCUCUUUAUCUUCCUUUUCGCGCCUCUUCUUCGCCUCCUCCUCGCGCUUCUUCCGCUCCUUCUCCUUGAGCUUCUUCUUCUCAGCUCGCGCCCUCUUCUCCUCCUCUUCUUUCCUCAUCUUCUCCCGCUCCUUCCUCACCUCCUCCUCUAACCUCCUCUUCUUCUCCUUCCCCUUCUCCGCCGCCUUGGCGUCCCUCGCGAUCGCUGCCCUCUCUCGCUCGGCCAUCCUCAUCCUCCUGCCUUCCUCCAUCUCGUUCGCGGCAAGGUUCCUCCGGAUCCGGAAGCAUGGCGUCUUCUCCUCCGCAUCCUUCUUUCUCCUCAGCUCCUCCUCCCGGCGGCGCUCCUCGAGGCGUCGUUGCCGCCUAAUGCUAAAGCACAUCAUGCUGGUGGUCCUUGAGGAUUUGUACGAAAAGGCAACGAUGAAACUCUCGUAUGCUUAUCUAGCUACCGUAUCAUCUUGGAGCGUAGAAGCAACGGUUUGCUGGUUAAAUAUGCGGUGCUGAGAACCAUUGUGGUUGAUGUGCACUUUGAGGUUAUCGCGUCUAGUGCAUGGCAGAUAGCUAGCGAGCCGGUCAUCCGGCCGGCUGUUUGACUAGGUAGCACGUACGAUUAUAUAUAUAGGGGGUGUUUGGGAGGAGGGGGCUAAAUUUUAGCCCCCGUCCCAUCGAAUGUUUGGACACUAAUUAGGAGUAUUAAAUCUAGACUAAUUACAAAAUUAAUUACACAACCCCUAGGCUAAAUCGCGAGACGAAUCUAUUAAGCCUAAUUAGGUCAUGAUUUGACAAUGUGGUGCUACAGUAACCAUUCACUAAUGAUGGAUUAAUUAGGCUUAAUAGAUUCGUCUCGCGAUNNNNNNNNNNNNNNNNNNNNNNNNNNNNNNNNNNNNNNNNNNNNNNNNNNNNNNNNNNNNNNNNNNNNNNNNNNNNNNNNNNNNNNNNNNNNNNNNNNNNCUUUGUAUUAGCUUAUGUUUAGUCCUCCUAAUGAGUAUCCGAACAUCCGAUGUGACAGGGCUAAAGUUUAGCCCACUCCUCCCAAACACCCCCAUAAUAUACUCUAAUGAUUGAACAGUGACACGUUUAACUAGUUGGAAUAUAUCUUAAUCGUUCGAGUUUCAUCUUGCAGAGGAAACAAGCUUAGGAAAUUUGGCAGUAGAGAUAAUUUGUCUUGAUAUUUACACAAAGCAACGUUUCCAUUUGGUUCGGUUAACUUUCAUGCCUUUUCUGACGCAAAUUUCCCAAAUAUGAUUUUUUAAGUGAGAAAUUAAACUAUUUUUCUGUGCCUCCGCCUUCCUCAUGCCUUCUGCCUAGCAUAACAACAAAGUCAACUUUUACAAAAUCAACAUCAUCUUAGCAUUUUAGUUCGAAUAAUAAUCAAUUGGUGCAACUUUUGUACACUGAAGGAAGUGAAGAAUGAAGAUGCAUACAAUCUGACUAUCUAUUGAUCAAAAUUUGUAUAGUUUCACUUUUCAAACAAAAAUGUGCCUUUACAUUGACAAACAAAGGGCAUGCAAUCAGGCUAGCUAGUUUGGGCCUGUGCCUUUUUGGACCUUGUAGGUCGUUGGGCUAUGUAGGAAAUGAAAUUGAAUUUUUAUUGUCAGAAAUUAUUAAUGAAUUAUGCGAAAACUCCAAAUUAAAUGAUCGAAGAGGGUAAAAAUCAUUUUUAUGCGCUUACUUUUUUUGUUCCCCCAAAAUAUAUUGAAAACUAAAAAAAUAAACCUGGUAAACGGGAUAUUUGGAUGAAAUAUUGUACUGUUUUCCUUUAAAUUUAACUGAACGUUUUUCUUCUAAGCGCGGUCCGCAUGUGCAAGCGCGUAACUUCGCACAAAUUGGUACGCUCAGUUUUCUCCCCUACCGUUUUCCAGACUGAGCUUGCAGUGAGAAAAUAGAUACCGUUGGAAAUUGCUCUAUGCGUGAUACUUUGGUGUGGCCGUGUGGGCCCUUUACCAAAUAGAUAAGGGCAUGCAUGUCAACUGUAGACAGAGCGUUUGAAUCCAUCAGGACACAGCUUCGCAGCAGGUGUACAUAGAAAAAAAUGGUAAACGUGCAUCCAGUUGUAUCCGUAUCCGUUGCUGUUCUCUCUACACACGCAUUAUGUGUUUAUUUAUACGGAGGUGUUGGGAUACGAGGUGCUAAACUUUAGCAUGGUCACAUCGAAUGUUCGGACGCUAAUUAGGAGGACUAAACAUGAGCUAAUUACAAAAUUAAUCGCACAGGUAGAGUCUAAUUCGCGAGACAAAUCUAUUAAGGCUAAUUAAUCUAUCAUUAGCAAAUGGUUACUGUAACACCACAUUGUCAAAUUAUGGACUAAUUAGGCUUAUUAGAUUCGUCUCGCGAAUUAGAUUCCAUCUGUGCAAUUAGUUUUGUAAUUAGACUAUGUUUAUACUCCUAAUUAGUAUCAAACAUCUGAUGUGAUAGGUGCUAAAGUUUAGUAGUGUAUAUCCAAACACCCCUAAGAUUGGUCUCAACUCCACCAGCUGACAAGACAAACUGUUAUACAGCUCUAGCCUUCAGCAAGCUAUUUCGUGUACUAGCUUGUGGCGCAUUGACCACUGAAUAGAGAGAGAGAGAGGAAUGAACUGCAUUUGAUUAUCUUAGCUAGCUGGAGAGAGAUCUCACAGCAUUUGAUUAUCUUAGCUAGCUGGAGAGAGAUCUCACAGCAUUUGAUUGAUCCUACUGCACAAGAUAACCAACCAAAUGGCAGCAUCCGUUAGGAAUGAAGUGCACGAUAAUUUAUACGCUUAUCGCCCGGCUAGAUGCCAAAGCAUGUGCAGCGGCCGCGCAGCCUGGAAGACGACCCAAUCGAUCACAUGGCUGCAUGGCCGCAUCAUGCCGUUGCACGCGAUCGCACCAGUUUUGUUUGGGUGGCCACCACUUGAGUCGUGGCAGUUGCAAAUGUCUAGCGAAAAAUGGCGCAGCCCACACAUGCGCGCGCGGCGCAACAGCCAGCGGCGGCCGAAUGCACGUUACGGCGGCGUACGGUGCCUUUGGGCAUGUUUGGAUGGACUAAAAUUAAAUCCUCUCGGCCUCCCGCUCCGCGCACGGGCGCGGCCUGGCGUCGCCGUCGCGAUCGCGCGCCAGCGGAUCCGGCGGCAGACGACGUGGGCGUGCCUCGCGGGUUCCUCUCGUCUUCUCAGUUAGCCGUUGGGGCCUGAUCGACGUAGCGGUGGCGCACAACUGAGUACCCGCAGAUACCGAUAGGCAACGGCACCCCCUAUAAUACCUCGUCGUCCGCGCUGGCCACGGGAGGCGACGACUCCGCCGCCUUUAAAAACCGCGCGCCGCCGCCUCCACCCGGCGCCCCAGCUCCUCCCUCCCUCCCUCCCUCCCACUUCCCUAGCCCACAGCCAGCGCCAGCCUCCCCUCUCCUCGCGCGGCCGCUAGUCGCGACACCAACCAAGGAACCAACCACAUGGCGCGCCUCGGCCUCGGCCUGCUCGCGGCGGUGGCCGUCCUCGCGCUGGCGUCCGGCGCGGCGUCGCAGGCGCUGGCGCCGGCCCCGUCGUCAUCGAUGGACUGCGGGGCGGCGGUGGCGGGGCUCCUCCCGUGCCUCUCGUACGUGCAGCAGGGGAGCCCGCAGGGAAAGCCAGCCAUGGAGUGCUGCGCCGGCGUCAAGGGCGCCCUCAAGAGCCCGGCCACCGUCGCCUGCCUCUGCGCCGCAUUCAAACAGAAGUACCCCGUCGCGAUCAACAUGACCCGCGCCGCCACGCUGCCCGCCGCGUGCGGCGAGGACCAGGCCGCCUUCAGCAAGUGCAACAGUAAGCGCUAACACAACCCGAUCUCGUCUUAUUCUUUUUUCCCCCCUUGAGACAAGAGCCCAUUUUUUCAAAAGAAAGAUGUGUAGGCCAAAUUAUUUUAGUUUUGUUUUUCGUAUGUUAAUUUGUGAUGAGUGAAACUCUGCGUGUUGUAUUUUGUUUUUUAUUAGUUUUCCAGAUAUUAGCCUUUUGGUUUAAUUUUUAUUAUUAUUUUCUUGCAGUCAAAGUGCCCGGCGCCCCUACUGAAGGUAAUAGAUACUACUAUGUUCUUUUUUUAUUUUUCAGUUUUUGCAAAAUGAUGCGUCCAUUUUGAAUUUUUUUUAGCCUGUCUACGUUACCAAUUUUCGGUUCAUUAAUAUCAGUACAGAGUUAUACACCAAAGAUCGGGAUAAUCAUAUGUUAAAAUUUAGGCCUAAAAUAGGGCUGAAUUGUGCCUAGAUGGUGACAGUAUUGUUAGCUUUCUUGGCAGCAAAAUGGUUCCAACUUCUAAAAAACCAUGAACGAUGAUAGACCAGACAGAUUUUUGAAGCCUGAACGCUGUGCGUUUUUGUCUUGGCACGCUGACAGUCAUCUGCAAGUGAAAAUCUUAAUUAAUAGGACACUUACGCGUAAUCUGAAUUACUAACGUCUCUAGUCCAAAAUAAAAUAUGGGCGUGGGAGAGAGUGAGAUGGGACAGGUGGCAGCCAAUUUUGUAUCCAUCAGGUCCAUCUUAACUCGCAUGCCUAUUAGAUCUCAGUAAAUGAUGUGGAGAGUCAUCAGUUGUGCACUGAAACAAGUUCUGAACUGAAGAAAAACUUGGGUCUUGUAUACAUUACCUUUUGUCCUUUAAGCUGUGCGUGUGAUUCGCUUAUCUUUCGUCGUCUCACUACUCUGCUUCCAUGCUGAAGGUCCUGCACCUGCUUCUGGAUCGGCACCGGCCGCCAACAGCCCAGGCGCAUCGAAGUCGGCGGCAGCCCGAUCGCCGGUCUCAGCAUUCGCCGUCGUGGCCGCCGUGGCCGCGCCUCUGCUCUCUUAUUACUACCUCUGAAGAUUUGUUGGAUGAUUUGAUUAUUUCGUUUGUGGAUGUUUGUGAAAAUUGUGCCAUAAUUCAUUGAGACUUGAAUUGGGAGAGGCUGUUGAAUUGGUCUCAGCAUUCGCCGUUUGAUUAUCUUGAAUUGGGAGACUUGAAAAGAACAAAGAAACUGCACGUCGUUCAGUAUCAAAAACGGAGAAGACACAGAAUCAGUUAUCUGUUCUCAUGUCAUUCUGUAAGGAAUUUCUGUAGCCAGCUACUCCACCUCACGGCCUCACCAUAGCAAGAUUAUGCCAAAACAGCACCAUGGAACACACAUACUUUCCAAUAUUAUGAUCUGUUGCCAACUCAUGUACUGAAAGAUUCAGAACACAUUCAGGGAUUGGAAUGCUAUUCCCCUGUUCAAUUCAUACUCAGAAACCAGGCAUAGUCUGAAAUUGCAUUACGCUUAAACUUAAGAACCAAUACACGCUCGUAGAGAACCAAUACACGCUUGUACGGCCCACAUGCCAGAUGAGUACCAGAAUAUCAGGGACAGAGAUACAGACCAACCUUCCUAUUGUUGAACUGAAUGUUAUCAGACAAAAACAAAAUCAACUUCAGGGUACAAUACUUGCUCCAUCUUCAUGCAAGCAGGUCACUACAGAGAUGGGGCACCAGUUGCAGCCACCAGCCAUGCUACCACCAAUUGCACACAUUUCAGGAGUUCAUAUAUUCAUGCAAGCAGGUCGAUCAAGAGUAGUCGAACAGAUUGACCAGAGAUAGAGAAAUUCAUGGUGUAUCAUUCAGUCAGUUCAUGCAAGCAGUACAAAAAUAUUCACUGCAACUAAAUAAAAGCAGAACUGCAGAGGUUGAGCUAUCAUACUGCUGCCAAUUGCACUGAACUGAACAAAACAUGUCAUGCAUUUCGGCAACAAACGAAUCAUGCCAGUCAUGCAAGGAGAUCAAUAGCAAUAGGUAGAACACAAUCGAUCGAUGGUGGUAGAACACAUACAGGGCAGAAACUAAUAGCAAUUUCAUGAUAUUAAUCGAAAAAUGACAGGUAAAUCAGGAUAGGAUAUUCAUUCACUUCAUCCUUCAGGCAAGCAGUUCAAAUUUCCACCAAACGUUCCAUUCUGUUCUUCGACAAGGCGAAACGAAAAUACUAAGCAAGUGGUAGACCGAGUGUUGAUCGGGACCUAUCUACAGUUCUACACAAAGAUAACUACGAAACAGUCACUACAAUGCGCGUCAAGAGAAAAGACGCGGUAGAACACGGAGCCGCGCGCUAGGCCGGCAGAUCUAGUGAGAUGCUAGAGCAGAGCACAAAGUGGGUUCGAAGAAUCCUACUAGUCGAUGACCCAGGCGUGCUGCUGGCGCAACUUCGCCUCGUCCGCCGGAUGAGGUCGUUGGGGAGGUUGAAGGUGUCGCGGAUCUGCUGGGUGGUCUUGCCCUUGAUCAUGUCGGUGGCCCUCUGGCAGACGACGUCGAUGAGCCCCUGGAUGCUGAGGUGGUUGGCGGCGAGGAGGAGGUCGUACAGGUCGUCCGCGCUGAGGCCCUCGACGAACUUGCGAUCCCACUCCUCCAGGUCCUCGGGCACCGCUGUGACGACGACGCUGCUGCUGCCGCCCGCGGUGCUGGGGUUGGAGUCGUGGACGGGCUCGUCGGCGUGCUUGACGCAGUACUGGAUCACCGUGUCCAGAGUCCUCGUGACGGUGGCGGAGCGUUCGAGCGGGAUGACGACGUUGUACGCGCAGUCGUCCUCGAUCAUGUUGCUGAGGACUACUGACAGCUUCUCCGCCGCCGCCGACAUGGAACGCUCCUCCCCGUCCGUGCUCCGCAGGGUGAUCAUCUUCGCGCCGGCCGCCUCCUCCGCUUCCGCCACUGCUUUCCCCUUCUCCACCGCCGCCUCUCCCGUCCCCUCCUCGUCGGGCGCCUCCGCUCCCUCCGCUCCCUUUCCCUUCUCCUCCACCGGCGCUCCCUUCGCCGCCGCCAUCGCUUCAUUCUCUCCCUUCUCCGCCUCCAUCGCUCCCUUCUUCUCUCCCUCCACCGCCGCCAUCGCGCGCUCUCGCUCGCUCGACGACGAAACCCUCGAUUCGCUAGGCGCCUUCGCCGUGGGUGGGUGGGGUUGGGUGUGCACGACGGGAAUGAUCGAGCCGGGGCCAGCGGUGGCGCCGCUUUAUACUAACCCGCUUUAUGCUUCGGGUCGGAGCGAGACGAGGCCUGGCUGCCUGGCUGGCACCAGCCAAUCCAAUUUCCCGAACGGAUUUGCUUUUUCGCUCCGAACAGUGGGCCCAACUCAAACAAGCUUCAUUUCUGGGGCCGCUGAUGGGCUUCUCUCGGCCCAUUUUUGCAAUUUCUCAUACCGCAGUGGUUUACAUCCGAGAUCUCAGAAACAGAGCAAUUUCUCAUGCCUUUCACCGUAGAAUUUCUAUAACAAGUUACUCGUCUUGCUAUCACAAAAAUUACGCUCAAAAUAAUGCAAUGCAACACUUACAAGUCCAACACAUAAGUUCCAGGGUAGCACCAUGUUUCUAAAACUCAUCAUCUCCUGAAAAAUGGAGCGCACUCCGGGACCCAACACUCAAAUCCUCUGUUCAAUUCAUCCAUGAAACUGAAGUGACAAGAUAGGAUCCUUAUACAUUCCGCCCAGAGUUCAUCUAAUGUAAUUACGCUAAAAAUAAAUGCAGUGCAACGCAGGUUUAAUCUCAUAGUAUUUCGCAGUGACUGUGUCACACCCACAUGAUGCGAACACCCACUCAACAGAGUCAGUUCUCAAUCAUACGAGUAGACUUCCUCCCAAGAAAAAUGCAAUAUUAUCACUAGUAUCAUGUAUGCUAUGUGAUUGUUUAUAUACUUAUAGUGUUUUAGCAUUCGAGAUUACGAUUUACUCACAGCACAUGUCACAUUCACACGAUAUGAAAUUAAAGAAGAAAAGGAUAGGAGAAUUAUACUGUAUGUUUCUUAAUCCAAAACUCAGAAGGAACAAAAUCAGUUAUGUCAUUCUGCAUGAAAUUUUUGUAACCAGUUACCCACCUUACCAUGACAAAAGCUUUGUUAAAAUAGUAGAAUGCAACACAUUUUUUUUAAUAUCAUGACUUGUUUCCAACUCAUGUCAUGAAAGAUGCAGAACAUCAUCAUCUAAAAAAUAUAUGCAGAGCAUAUUCAGGGAUUGAAAUGUUUACUGCCCAGUUCAUUUCAAACUGCAAACCAUGCAUAGUCUGAAACUGAGUUAUACUGAAAGAUAAGAGCAACAUAGUAGUAGGCUUAUGCAUUAUAAAAUUUAGCUUCACCGAAUCUUUCGCAUGCACAAACCAUUAUAUUAUGUAGUGAAUUAUUGUAGACUAAAAGUAUAGUAUAUUUGUAUGAAUGCAUCUCUUUUUUAACGUAUUGAUAUUUGUGGUAUAAGGUACAAACUCAUCUGAACAAAUGAACUAAAACAUUACUAAACACCCUAGCAAGCUAGUGUACUUAAAAAAAAUUGCGCUCCUCUUUCUCAAUACGACGAAAACGUUCCUGCUCGAGAGGAUCUUGGUUGCACUUGAUCGCGGACCAAAUAGUGGUAGCAAUCGACAUUGCAACGCAGAUGCUCAGUGCAUAGGCUCUCACUUGCCUUGACAUGUGCUUGGUUCCAGCCGCAGAAGCAAUGCCAAAAACUACUCCCAUGGUAAGGGAAUAACCGAAAAACCAUACGAACCAAUACUGCAAAAACCCAGAGUGAAUAAUAUAAGUAUGAAAAGCUCUAGUUGAGACACUUAUUUUAAUAUGGAAAAUCUUGACAAUAGAAUACAAAUAAGAGUACGUACCCAGGGACGAAAGAAUGGGGACAGUAUUCCAUCACAUGCAACUCUCGCUGCAUUGUACUCUUUUUCGUCCUCGUAGUAGGCCGCCGUGAGCCUGUGGUACCAGAGUUUCCCAACACGUCCCUCUCGGAGUGCAAACAGAGGUAAGGUCGAUAGGAUAUCGGUGCUGGCGUCUCUCUUAGCGACAAUGACUUUUGGGCAGCGGGUUCUACAGAUGCAGCAACGUUUGUUACGAUGGAAGAAACGGAUGCGCACCAUGCACUUGCGACAGACAACACGGUGGCCACACCGCCCGAUAGCCACCCACUCUGAAGGGUGAGUGCAUACAACACAAUAGUUCUUGGGGUCGGCAUCAUCUUGAGGUGCUAUAUCAAUGACAUGAUCUUGACAUCCGGUAUCACCGUUGGUGUUUACACCGUCAUCUCCACUAUUAUGACAUGCGGUGCUUUCGCGUGUCAUACCAGACUCGACAUCCUUCACAUCUUCGUGGCUCUUUGUAUUACCAUUGACAUUAAGGGCUUGUUCGGUUCGAAAAGUAUUGAAAGGGGUUGAACGGGAUUGUGAAGAAUUAAAUACCUUCCAAAUCACUCCCAUUACCUCCCAAUCCACCUCAAUCCCCUUAGAAAGAGGAUCAAGAUCUGCUACCACCCUGACAUUUUCAACCUGCGAGGGCGGUGGUGGUAGGACCUCACGCUCCACCAGAUCCCUGCCAUCCAAGAUGUUGUCUGGCACGCCACCGUGCUUCACCAGCUUACCGGUGAACAAGAAGCUCUCAUUUGAGUUCAGAAGGAGGUUAUCCAGAGUGCUUGGC